UCUCUCCUCAAGAUCCAAUAGUCAACAGCAUGUAUGAAGCAGAACGAUGAAGCGCAAAUGGAUAAAUUCCUAGUGAUGAGGCAACAAUUUGAGGUGACUAGGGUAACAAGGAAAUCAGCCACUCCAUUAUUCAUGGCACUCCAUAAUUCAAGUCAUAGUCAUAAUGAAAUGCUCUGGAGAAACUUACAUUCUGAAAUACCUGAGAAUGUAUUCUACUUCCAGUGAAGCACAAGAGAGAGCUGUCAACCCAUUUUAAGCCUUCAGAUUGGAUUCAGCCUUUAAAAAGGAUUCCUCCACACACACCCUACCCCCACCCCCACCAGAGUGGACUGAUUUAAAUCAACAGGUAGAAAACUUCGAUUUAAAACACUGGUUUUAAUUUUGUUGUGUAUUUAUACUUGUUAUUUUUCUAAAGAAAAGUUUAUUCUCAUUAGUUGGUAGGCAUUAAAAGAUGUUGAUUUGCAACUAUAUAAAACUUUACAAUGAAUUUGGUACUUUUGAUUAUCAGGAGGAUCCUAUAGCUAUGCACAUUUAUUUCAGCAAUUAUAUAGCAUAUAUAGAUUCUUAAUUUUUACUUUAUGUUAGAAAAUGGUGAAUGAUGCACUUAUUUACUAGAUUAACUUUUUAUUCGUAUCAUGCUUUAUUUGGAUGGGAAUUGGAAUUUAUUUUAAAAAUGCACUAAAAAGCAUUUUAAAUUUGUAUUGGUUAAAUGAAACUGCCUUUAAUGUGAUGGAUACACAAAUAAAGUUAAAUGCAAAAUA